AGUCUGUGGUCAUCUAGGUGGGAGAUGAAUCUAAAAGAGAAUGGAUGUGUGGACAUGUAUCAGUGAAUCACUUGGUGGUACAGCUGAAAUGAUCAUAGCCUUGUAUCAACUGGACUUCAAGAAAAUGUUUAACAAGUGAAAAAUAAAAAAAGAAACAACACUGCAGCCGUAAAGCAGGGUCCUGGUUCCUCCUUGAGGGUCCUACAGAGCAAUAUGCCCCUGAGCUCUUCUGCAGGAAGGAAGCCCCCAUCCUGGUGCAGGAUGCUCACUUCAGGCCAAGCACAAGCAGGUGGAGCCUCGACUCACUAGAACCGGAAGGCUGAUGACUGAGAUCCCUGGAACUCCGCCCUGUGACCUCCCCACCAACCAAUCAGGGAAGGUUCACACUCCCUGCAGCCCUUCUCCCAGGUGUUGCCUAUCACACCUCUUCUCCCAAAACCCUUGAGUUUGCAUCUGUUAAGCAUGAGCCACUUAAUCUCCUGGCUCAGCCCUGCAGUAAACCUUCCUCUGCCCCAAACUCUAUCCUUCCAGUUUGUUUGACCUACAACAAUGUUGGCAAACUGGCCAGGAGCCCGUCCAUGCCUGUGGCAGUUCGACCCCAGCCAGGGAAGUGGGGGACCCCCAGAAGCUGCCAGAGGUCCUUUUGCUCCAAGGAAUUCAGAGGGACUCUUCCUGAUGACACCAGUGAUCCUCAGCAUGAGGCUUCUGGAGUGAAGAAACUGAACCAGCAUCCACCUUUGGUUUGGUUUGGAGUGAUGGGUCGCUGGAAUAAAGCUGAGGUGAAGCAUUGAGUGAAGAAGAUGAGCCACAGGACAUCUAUGCAUGUGAAGAGCAGCUGAAAACUUGGUGAACACAAAACUGCCAGGGGCAGAUAAAAUUUAAUACAUGAACACCGUGAAUGCUGUCUAUCAAAAACAAUAUUCAAGCUAUUGUUCCAGAGAGAAUAAUCCAGACGAUAUUUUGGGAAGAUAUUUGUGCACCAAACUAAUAAUACACGUCCCUGAAUUCCAGUCAACGGUAGAGUCCAGGAUAACGUAUCACUGAGAAAACAAAACUUGAUUCACUGGGUGGAGUAUUCACAUUUAUCUGGACUAAAUUUCAAAAGCUGGAAAUGCAUCCAG
rnacentral:lncRNA from 1 species